AUCCAGCCGACGAGCCCCAAAUAUAACGGAACGCGCGUCCUGGAU
rfam:Schistosoma rodhaini strain Burundi genome assembly, scaffold: SROB_scaffold0003177